rnacentral:rRNA from 1 species
AUACGUAGGGGGCAAGCGUUAUCCGGAUUUACUGGGUGUAAAGGGAGUGUAGGUGGCCGUGCAAGUCAGAUGUGAAAUCCCGGGGCUCAACCCCGUGACUGCAUUUGAAACUGAACAGCUAGAGUACAGGAGAAGUAAGCGGAAUUCCAUGUGUAGCGGUGAAAUGCGUAGAUAUAUGGAGGAACACCAGUGGCGAAGGCGGCUUACUAGCCUGAAACUGACGCUCAGUCACGAAAGCGUGGGUAGCAAAUAGGAUUAGAUACCCUAGUAGUCCACGCUGUAAACGAUGAGAACUAAAUAUUGCCGCGAGGCAGUGUUGAAGCUAACGCAUUAAGUUCUCCGCCUGGGGAGUACGGUCGCAAGACUGAAACUUAAAGGAAUUGACGGGG